GUUAAGUAAUGCCCUUAGACCCUGGGGAGCCUGAACCUUCUUCUUCUUGUGAUGAUUUUAAGAGUCCGCUUUGGCCUUUGCCCUCUCCUUCGCUUUCCCGAGGAAGAGACUGAAACAAAAAAGGAAGCCAAGUGGAUCAGCCUCCAAACAGGACUCUGGCAACUUCUUCAUGGGUAAUUCAUGCCAGGAAACUUUUCCACCUCAACCCCUUUGCCUAACCAUGAAGACUAAAAUGUUGGGUAUACAGAAGGAGCAGCUUAAAAACACCACGAAUACCUUUGUUUGGGUCAAAGACCAUUUCGCAUCAAACACUUUUCAUCAGGAGAUUGAAAUUUUUCUAGAAAGAGAAGC